GACGAACGCUGGCGGCGUGCUUAACACAUGCAAGUCGAACGGAAAGGCCCUGCUUUUGUGGGGUGCUCGAGUGGCGAACGGGUGAGUAACACGUGAGUAACCUGCCCUUGACUUUGGGAUAACUUCAGGAAACUGGGGCUAAUACCGGAUAGGAGCUCCUGCUGCAUGGUGGGGGUUGGAAAGUUUCGGCGGUUGGGGCUGGACUCGCGGCUUAUCAGCUUGUUGGUGGGGUAGUGGCUUACCAAGGCUUUGACGGGUAGCCGGCCUGAGAGGGUGACCGGCCACAUUGGGACUGAGAUACGGCCCAGACUCCUACGGGAGGCAGCAGUGGGGAAUAGUGCACAAUGGGCGGAAGCCUGAUGCAGCAACGCCGCGUGCGGGAUGACGGCCUUCGGGUUGUAAACCGCUUUCGCCUGUGACGAAGCGUGAGUGACGGUAAUGGGUAAAGAAGCACCGGCUAACUACGUG
rnacentral:rRNA from 1 species